UACGGGGGGGGGGCAAGCGUUUGUUCGGAAUUACUGGGCGUAAAGGGCUCGUAGGCGGCCAACUAAGUCAGACGUGAAAUCCCUCGGCUUAACCGGGGGAACUGCGUCUGAUACUGGAUGGCUAGAGGUUGGGAGAGGGAUGCGGAAUUCCAGGUGUAGCGGUGAAAUGCGUAGAUAUCGGGAGGAACACCAGUGGCGAAGGCGACUACCUGGCCUGUUCUUGACGCUGGAGGCGACGAAAGG
rnacentral:rRNA from 1 species